AGUGCCCGCAGCGGGUCCGGCAGCCCUGGCCUUAUCCGGGCGUCGGGGCUUCGGCGGGCAUUAGCAGCAGCUGAGAGGCCUGUGAGAGGUUCUGGGGCGCCACCGCAGUCAUUCUGUUCAGCGGGUAUAGGACUUUCAUUCAUGGGACUGUCCCUGAUUCCCAGCCAUCACGGGGAGGCUCUACCUUCAAGUGUUAUCCAGAAUCAGACCACCUCACCUCAUCUACUGUGGCCUCCCUGGGAUGGGCCUGGCCUCCUUCAGUCUGUUCUCACCACAAAGCCACCAGAAGGAUCCUUUUAUUUUUAUUGAUUGAUUGAUUGAUACGGGGUCUGACUCUGUCAGCAGGCUGGAGUGCAAUGGCACGAUCUCACCUCACUGCAACCUCUGCUUCUUGGACUCAAGCAAUCCUCCCACCACUGCCUCCUGAGUAGCUGGGACCACAGGUGCACACCACCACACCCAGUUAAUCUUUUUGUAUUUUUGGUAGAGAUGGAGUUUCACCAUUUUGCCCAGGAUGGUCUCAAACUGUUAAGCUCAAGCAAUCUACCCACCUCAGCUUCCCACAGUGCUGGGAUUACAGAUAUGGGCCACCACGCCCAGCGCCUUUUAAAAGUGCAGUUGGAUCAUAGCAUUUAUCUGCUCAUAACAAUGGCUUUUGCUUCCCCGCUCACUCAAAAGAAAUUCCUUCUUCACUGCAGAACUGCCCCUCCUACCACAGGAUGUUUAGGGUUCCUGGCUGCAACCCCCAAAGGUCCUAAUGGUGCUGGUCAUGGGGGGAUCCACACCAUUGUGACAACGAAAUAUGCCCACAUGAUGCCCAAGGCUUCAGUCCUGGCCCCACCCUUCCACUGUGUCACUGUGCUGGGUUGGUUUUCUCAUCUAAAACAUGGUGAUGGGGAUAACAAACUUGAAAGAGUGUCAUGCAAAUGAGGUGUCCAGCAUCGGGAGGUGUCCAGCAUCAGGAAUAUUAAUAAAGGGUCCCCAGUGAUACCGGCCGAGGCAUAAGCAAACUCCACUGCUCCUAUUAUCUGCACCUGAAGAUUUACACCUUGCAUAUAUGUGGAUCCUUUUCCAAUUUCUUCUGUAUUAAACAUUCUCUCCUGUA